rnacentral:lncRNA from 1 species
GCCGCCUGCCAGAUGCAUGCUCCUCGUGGGUGCUCUGCUGGCCAUACUUGAGCAGGCCUGGCUUCAGAAGAGGUGGUUGCAGUCACCACCUGGGACAUGGGGUGCCUGUCUCACAAGCUAUAUCUCCUGCCUUCAAAAUGCUCUCCAUGUCCACAGGAUUUUAUACUAAUCCCAGUUUUUGUGCCUCUUAAAUUUCUAGCAUCUGUAGAGUGUAGCUUUACCAAACAUUAAAAGAUAAUUCAGCCAAUUUUAAAAUGACCCUCCCUUGCUUUCUUUUCCCUUCCUUUCAGGAGCUGAGUUUUCCUUUCCUCUGGCUUGUACAUGUUUAAACCAUUGUCUUACUCUUCUACAACCCUUUUAUGUCUAUACCUAGUAAGUACCAGGACCCUGUUGGUCAUAGAUAACAAGGGUUUCCAAAGAGUCUGAAUAUAAAUUGCCUUUUUCUUUGAAGUUUCUGCUUUCAGCUGCUUCCGACUUGACCCUUUCCAUGCUUCUUUUUCUAGAUAUCUCUUUCCUUCCUUCCUCCAUCUUCUUUUCAUCCCCUGAUUUUUUCUCUCAUUUUCUGGAAUUUGUUAUUUCUUCAGACUUGGUUUCUGUUUUCUUCAUUUUCCACUUCUUGUCUCCCCAGUGGCCUCCAAAACCAUCUCUAAUCCACCGCCUUCUGCUUCAGAUAUUUGCACCUUCUGGCUGGUUCUGCUGUCAUCUGCAUGCCCCAGCAGCAUGCAGAAGGGAGGAUGAAGCUUAGCACUUCCUUAUCCGUCAGUCUCACAGCAGAAGCAAGGCACAUUUUCCUCUUCUCUCCAAAGGCAGAGGUACAUGGGAUUUCACCCUGGCAGGGCUUGCCACCUCAAACACCACAUUCGUGUGCACAGAGCUAGCACUCAUCUUAGAAGCCCUUCCAGAGCUGGGCCAGCAUCCAUAGAUUUUUACCUUAAUCAACACAUGUCUUUAAGUGUUGCCCUUUGUAAAGAAUACUUUAGCAAAAUGAUUACUUUCAUUACAGUUGGUGUUCAGUUUUCCAGACACUCGGUACCGUGUGGAUUUAUGUUUCAGACCACAACAGUUGUAAGUCAAACAUUGUGCUCCUCAGUAUAAUUUCCUUUCGCUGUGAUAUUAUUUCUUCUGGGCCUUCUGGUAAUCCUCUCUUAAUAUUUUCCACUGCAGCACUGCAAGGCCCGUGCUGGCAUUGAAAGCUUUUACAUCUGAAAAUCACCAUCCUGCUGGCUGUAAUUAGUGCUGACACGCACACACACAGACUGAUGCCAGGAAGCAGAAGCAUUGUCCUUUAGCCUUACUCAUAUGGAAAGGUCGGAGCUUUGGGGUGGCUUUCUUGUGUGCAGAUGCCUUCAAGCACUGGGAAGCAGGGAGCUGUGGCACUGCUCUUGGUUAAACGACAAGCUCGUCUACCCAAGCAUGUAGCUGUGGCCUUGACAGGUUACAUUUCUGUUUGCAUUGUCACUUCCUAUCAUGCCUGCAGCGGAGGUAACUGUUUGCACUGUCAUAACAUCUCUUCUGCUGGUGCUUCCUGGCCUGCAACACUGCAGAAAUUACCACAGGGUGCAUCGCCCCACUCUCCAGACUCUCGCUUGAGGAUGGCACACAGACAGUCACGAGGCCCCAAGCAGCACAAGCAGCUGUGGAGGCUGCCAGCCUAUGAGCUGCCUCCUGGUUGCCUGUCCUGGCUUUCCUGCCCAAGCUCUAGGCCAUAGGUAGCCUCAUGCCCAGGGGACUACAGCCCUGGAAGUGAGCAUCACUGCACAGCCUCCAAUGGUCACUUGGGGUGGGCUGAUGAACAGGUCCCUCUGGAAGAGGUCCUGAACCAGCUCCUUCUGAGAAGUCCUGAAAACAUAUGAAAGCUAAUAGGCACGAUAGCUGUCAAUAAAAUGCCUUCUGUUAGAUUUCAGAUCAUUUCAGGAAUGAGUACAGAGAGACGGCUGCGUGGUGCCCCUGACGUUGGUGGAAUUUCUUACUUCUCUUGCAGUAAAAGCAAGGCUGCUUGAUGCCAGCGAGAAACAUGUGGCUGUCCAACAUAUUGCCUGAGAUUCACAAAGGGAAUCAUUGGUACUGCUGAUUUCAGGUGUCUUUUAUUAAUACUGAAAAGAAAAAUUGAGCGUUUCCUUUGUACAAUUUGUAAUGCUCUGCUAAUCUGUGUAAUCUGCAGCUAGUGUCCAUUUGUGCUGCGUUUGCAACAAUUUCCCUGCUUUGUCAUUUCCAUCGCAAUACGUAGGUGUUGUCUAUUUUGCUUGUAAGGUCAUCUCAGGCAGUUCUGGUUUGAAAUAUUUGUCCUGCGAGCUUUCCCCAAACAUGUGAUAGUUUCUACUGGCUGCUCUUCUUGUUUGGUUUCUUUUUAUGUCCUUUAUGGGAGGGGAAGUGGAUGAGCUGGGAGGAAAGAUGAAAUGUCCUUUGUGUGCAGUUAGAGACAAGUAUCAUCCCCACACACUGAUGAGAUCUACCCUCACCUUCACGUGCUUCUGCUCCAAGCUGCAACUUGCAUCUACAUCCACCUCUACAGACAUAGAGAUGCACAGGGGACUCCCAGUUGCUGUAUAAUGAAUUGGAUUAUAAUCCCCCCUGGGAGAUCAACCUUACAAAAUGCUCCUCGUCCAUGUCCCUGCAUAUCUACUGGUCCAGGCCCACUACCAGCCCAGUUCCCUGCUGAUGUGAGGAAACCCAGCUCCAGGGAGACACAGUCAGCCACACUAACAUGUGGUACACGUGUGACAUCUCUUCUAACAAAAAUACGGCUAGGCAGUGUUUUAUGUGCCUGGCAUACAUAACUACGUCGCUGUGUCAGUGCACUGAUGAACUUCACUUCAGAGAAGUACAGAGUUAGCAAGAAGACAACAAGUGGUAAAACAAAUGAACAAAGCCAAGCUGCUACGUUUUAUGGCAGUGUAUGAACAUAUCCAAGGCGUUUCUUUAAAAACAUGCUGUGCUCUUACUUGUGCCACGAGCCCCCAUUCUUAGUUAACCUUCAGGCAUUUAAGGUCAGAAGGCACCAUCUGAGCCAUCAGUUCUGCUGUACAAGUAGGAGACUGGGUCAUGAGAAAGGAGAAGUGAAUGAAUCUCAUGAAAAGAGAAAGGAAAUACCUCUGGACUUGAGAUAGGAUUCAGAUGGGAUUGCUGAGGACUACCAGAGUUCCCUCUUUGUGUUUCACUUCAACUGAGAUGGAGUUUCCCUUUCUUGCACUGAGUGCGAGGUCUGUGGGCAGCCAGGGAAACAUCUGCUGCAGACUUGAUGUGAUGAAGUGCAGAAGUCUAAUGUGGCAAAGAGAAGAGACAAGGCUAGAGGAAAAGAGGUUAAUGAGUAGAGAGGAACACAAACCUGCAUGAUAAUAAAAGCCUGGAGGACUUCAGGGGGCAGGCUAAACGUGAACAGGAAGAUGACAGAGCUGCAUUUCUAGGCACCUGAGGGAAGGCAGGGAGUUGUGUUGUGGCUGUCACAGCUAAAAGAUGCAUCGAGGCACAAGCAAGGAUGUCUACAGCAGCCAACAGGAAGCAUUUGACAGACCAGGAGAUUAGAGAGGAGGUUACCAUCAAGGUAAGAGAGGAGAAAGUGUGAGUUUGUAGAAAUUUUGCAUAGCUAUGGUAUUGCUCUGUAAGCUGCAAGAGGAAACCCUUAACAACAGAUUCCCAAAAGCUUGUGAUGAGAUGUCACUUCUGCCAGGGGAAUAAUACGAAGUAGGCUGCAAGCAAAUAAUAAAACCAGCUCAUUUUAUUAAGCUGAAUCAAUUCAUGCUGGUUUUAUGCCUUCCUAUCACCCUCUUUUUCUAACCGAAGCUGUUUCAUUAACUAAAGAUACGAUUACUCUGUUUGGUUCAGUUGUCCUCAGUGUGGAAUGGCCUCCCAUGUUUGAGGUGUUCGGCUGCAGGCUGAGUUGAAUCCUCAAGCUUAUCCAGUCCUGAAACUGUCCUGAACUGCAGUGGCCGAACCUGCACAGUUCAAAUGAAGUCUUCACAGCAUAGACAAGCGGGAAAGAAUUAUUUCCUGUUUCUUGCAGAUUGAACUUCUGUUUGUACACCUCAUUACAGCACUUUCAUUUUUUACUGCAGCAUGACCGUGCUCAUUCAUGUUGAGCUGUCAUCCCUAGAUCUUCUGCAGAACUGCUGCUGUGCCGGUUGUUUCCCAGCCGUCUUUUAGUACUUGAUGACGCCUACGCAACUGCAGAGCUCUGCUUUGUCCCUGCUCAAUGGCGUUUGUUUUCCCCAGCAUUCCUCCAAUUUGUCAAGAUUGUUUUGCAUUCUCAUCCUGUUUCUCCAAAGCGCUUGUUCUCCAUGGUGUCCUGUGCUAAUUUAAUAAGUGUUCCCUACUCUCAUUUCUUCAAAGAUAUUAAUGAAAAUACCGUACACUGCCAGACACAAAACAGAUGGCUUCAGACUUCAUUUGAUACGUACCGCCAGUUUGACAGUGAAGCAUUUAUAACUGCUUUUAGUCUGGUUUUCCAACCAGCUGUACACUCCUCUAAUAGCAGUUUCUUCUAAACCAUGUUUCUUUACUUAGUUUAUGAAAGUGUCAGGUGAGACAAUGGCAAAAGCUUUACUAAAAUCAAGAUCUAAGGCCUACUACAGAAGGAAAUUAGAUUGAUUGGAUGUGAUUUGUUUUUGUCAAAUCAGUGCUCGCUGUUCCUCAUCUGCUUGCUGUCAUCUAGGUGCUGGAAAAGAGCUUAACCAAUUUCCACUUCCAGCAUUUUCCAGGAAUUGAAAUUAAGCUGCUUGCUCUCUGACUCCUUGGGCACCUUUGAGUAGACCAAAGGAAGAAAGUAACAACCAUUUAGGUCUUUGGUAUCGUCACUGAGUAACUCCUCCUUGUGAAACUCAGGUCUUUCUCUGGCCCUCCUUUUACUUCAAGUGCAUAAACUUCACGCCCACUGCUCGUUGCAUCACCUAUAUCUUUUUCAUUUCAUUCCUCCUCUUAGUAACAUGACCUAGUUUGACUUUCUGUCUGCUUCCACUGCACAUCUGAAACUAAUGAAGAGCUCAUGAUUUAAUCACUUUGUACCUUGUGGGCCUCCUGUAGGGCUUGUGCUAAGUUGCCCUGCUACCAAGCAGUUCACAAGCAGUUCUUUACUAUUUCUUCUGUGAUUGUGCCUUCCACACAACUUCCUUACAGCACUGUUAACUCUUCAAAUGUCCUUUCUGCCUCAGAUUUGCCACUUGAAGGUCACUCUCACCCCAGCUGCCUUUCACCUUUGCCUGCAGACCCAAGUUUCCUGUAUAAGUCAGAAUCAAAUACUGCAGAGCAUCUAGUCAGGAAGGAGCUAACUUAAAGAGAUGAUAGCAGCAGUCAGUUCAGGGAAGAGCACAGAAAGAGCACCAGCACAGAGCUAAAUAGAUAUGCUUCUGCAUAUUUAGCACUUAGUUGUGUCAGGAAAAAUUAAUAUUAAUGUUCACAAUUACCUGCCCCCGCCUAUGAACUUGUCAUUAAAUACAGGAGAGCCGGAUAACAGUGGUGAAAACAUUGUGUAAAACUUGAACAGUGAAAGACUUACCAUUGCUGUUUGUCUGUCUUAAGACUUUUUGACGGUAUCUAUUAUAUCUUUGCACAGUGAGGGGGCUUAGACUUUGCAAACAUUUGGAAAUUCUGUGUAAGAAGCAUGCAGUUAGAUCUUUCAUUCAAUUAAGCAUUGACAUUACAGUGUGUUUCCAAUGAUGGGGGCUCAGGCCUGCAAGCACAGCAUCAAGAAGUUCUCACUGAGCCAGAGCUCACUGUGGUCCAUGCUCUUUAAGCACUGUUGAUCAGGGCUUCAGCUUCUCAGCAGCCAACCAAGAUGCUUCAGGCCUUCAGGGACAGAUUAAUCUUUCCAGGUCAGCUUGUUCCUGUGCAUGGUGUGCAUUGUUCCUAGUAAUGUCUUACUCUAGCUUCAUUAAUAGUAGAAAAGCUCUACCUAAAUGUACCUUCCUGCUUAAAACUCCCACUCAGAAAUUUGCUUUGGGAGCACCUUGCCCUCUACUCCUUACUGCCAUCUGUCCAAACCAAUCUGACACUUCCAGGCCAAGGCUGUGCCCAUGCAACCUCCCUGUGCAGUCCUGGAAAAGCUCACCUGAGCAGAGUGAUGUCAAGUUGGCUGCUGGCUGCCAUUCAUAGCUUGAACAUGUUCUUGCAGAAGUCCCUUUACGUGCUGAGCAAUUGGUCCAUAAGCACAGUCGGCACGGCAGUCAGUAACUCUGCUGUGAGUUAUUUUAAUGAUGUUAUUGAUUUCAUUAGCUCCAUUUUGUUUUGCCUCAUGACAUCAACUCUUGGCGCCAGGGUUAAGUGGCAGCUAAUUAAUUCAGUAUAAACGAUGUUUCUUUAUGGGGCAGCCAGGAUCAAAGAGGACUCCUGAAGCUUCCAGGGAUAUCUGCCCAGAAGCUGGGAUGGUUUGUAAAGGAAUUGUUGACUUUGUUUUAACAUCCCAAACAAUCACAUUAGUACAACUUUAUAACUUACUCCUCUCCAUGCACUUCAUAUCACCUCAUGAGAAGAAAAUGUUACAGAAGAGCUAUGAUGAUACAACAAUAGCUGGUAUCCUUGCAGGCACUCCGAUUUCUCUUCUUUAUCUAGCAGUUGGAGUUUGAUAUAUCAUCCAAUGAUUGCUCUUUGAGUCAUUGGAAGCUCCUACGAAAAGAAGAAAAACAAAUUUACAAGCUGCUGUGGUAGUGUCGUAGUCUAACUGAGCAUCCACGGCAUCAGCUGGAGAACUGUCCUGAUGGUGCUCUUGGAAUUUGGGUCAGACUACAUAAUGCUCCAAACAAGCUGUGAAGAAAGCUGCAGGAAGAUCUGAGAGGCAUCCCCAUGAGGACAGGGAUGGAAGGAGCUGGAAGGACAGCUCACCCCAGCUUGUGUCACAACAGCAGAGAUCAUGUUUGCAUCUGCAAGAGAAGCUGCAGUCAACAACAUGGUGCCAACAGUCUCCAGCUAGACAAGUCCCAGGCCCUAGCUGGAUGGCACCAACUGGACUGUAUGUCUGGGCACUGCGUCCCACUCAUUUUUAAGGAAAAUUAAGCCCCACCCCGGAGAGUCUGCUCACAGCUCAGGCAGUUCUCUGCUGGACUGGGCUGCCUGGAGCCCGUGUUCUCCACAUCUGAAACCAGACGACCCCAGGAGCAAAGCUCCACGUUUCCAGUCACUGGUUCACAGCCUCUGGCAGUUCCUGCAGGAUGGCUGAAAACAGUGCCAUGGGGCUGGCAGCUUGCCCCCACAGCCAGUGCAUCCCAACCACACCUGCCUUGGACCUGGAGAAGGAAUCCUAUAAUCCCUGUGUGGUCCUUCAGCAUUACCCAGCAUCUCCAUCCCAAACAUUGCGUCUUCCUUCUCCUUCCUGCUCCAUAAUGCAACCACUUAUAUGGAAAAUGAAUCAGCCCUCCUUGGGCAUCUUUCCAAAUGCCCCUCUGACUAAUUCUGCCCAAAACAGCCAGGCUGACCCUGUGCAAUGGCGUGAUCAUGGCAGACAGGACUGGGUCACGUUUGGGUGGAGGAAGGGAAAAACUGUUUUGCAGGCCUGCCCAAAAAUCCUCAUGUUGACUCUGCCAAAACCACACCAAACAUAUGGUAAAUGAAAUAGCUGGCAUGGAGCUGCUUUGGACGGCAGGAGUGUUUCAGCACUGUGGACUGCUCUUUAGCUGUCUUGAAUGUUAUUUACACUGUUUUAAGUAUCUCCACAUUUAAGGGAGAGAAGGCAAAGAAGAGGGCGAUGCCAAUUUUUUUGUGCAUUUGAUGCUUUUUACAUGCACGUUAUUUUUAUAGCCAUGUUAGCACGGUCCCAAUGCUUGCCCUGUCCUGUGGCUGAGAACAGUAACAGCAUUGCAGAAGGUUUCCUCCCCUCUUCGUGUAGCAACAGACUUCGGUGGAAAAGCACACAGAAGCAUUUUCUCUCUCAAAACAGGAGCUGUGCCUAAUUCACCAUAUAAAUGUCCUGCACAUUUCAUGGAGCUGAUGAAAUCAUGUACAGAUGGAAUGCCUCUUAACAAAGGCUUUAUUCACAGGGCAGGUUUCUCUGCCAUGUAUCUUUGACUGUAUUCCAGCUUAUACAGCUAUUCCCAGUGAAUACAUCCAUGGAGCCAGACCAUUUUCUGGGCAGAUACCAAAGGUGGAUGUGCUCAGCUCCCAACACCGCACUGUGGCUUCACUACAAGUCUGAGGCUGGAAGUCAUGCCAAUGAGCAUUCCUUUCCUCACUCUGUAUUGUUCACCUGGACUCAAGCACCCAGUGCCAUUUCCAGGGUUUGUCAGGUACUUUGGAAGAAACACCGCAGGACAACAGAACCUGAGAAAGAGCAUCCAGAGAAGCCAGAGGUCUUCAGUCAUUUGGGAGACGGCCAUAGGAAUGGAGUUGUGGUGGCUACAGCUACAAAAGAUGGAUGAAAAUAAAGCAGCCAAAUGGUGAUGAUCAUGAAAAAAAAAUAAAAAAUAAAAAGUGACUGUUCUUGAGAUCGAGGUAUAGAUUUUUUUUCUUGGAGCUACAGUGGCAGAGUGCCAGCAGGAGAGCUCACCUCCUCACAUAGCAGCUGGCGGGCUGCUGGGCAGCUCUCCACCACCGUUUGCAUGUUUUAACCCUUCCCCAGCCCCAACUCAACCUGUAGCUUCUCCCAUUUGUCCAUAAGCCAUGGCGUCCUGACACUAUUGCACUCUUGAGGGUCCUGUGUAAAAGCAGGCAGGGGCUGCUGGCCUGCUCGCAUGCACACCUUCCCAGUGCUGAAAACUCAACUCCCAAAUCCCCUGUUCAUCCAACAACCUCAUCAUCUAGACAAGGAAAACAGCAGGCUGAUCUAUGCUGCAGAGCACACUUCCUGGCACAGUCCAGUGGUAUUUGCCCAUGAACCCUUCUCUCUGCCUUUCUUUUUUGCCCUUUGUUCAGCGCUCAGUCAGUAACUCCUUAGAAACAACUCGCUAACUGCCCACGCUCAAAACAAGAACAGCAACAACAAAAGGAAUGAUAUAGAGGGAUGACUUCAUCGAGUUUGGAAAUAUCUUCUCAAAUGAAACAUUCCUUUACUCACAUACACAAGAAAGUAUCAAAAUUCUCUGCAGCUGAUGUAAACAGCAGAAAGAAAAAGUCAUCUGGAAGGACAGGAUGAUUCAUACCAAGGACCUGACUGGCAAUAUUCAUCAGUGUUGAAAUCCUCUCUGCAAGAUGACUACAUGCGAAAGCAAAACCAACGAGAUCCCAGCUUUUGCCAUGAGAAGCAUCAUUAACGGCAGAGCAGCGUGGUUAGGCUCCUAAUGCCACAACCCUUGCUCAUGGGAGUAACCCUUGCUCACUCAUCUGACCGGUCGCAGCAAAAAGCCCUGUGUCACCCAGGUAAUGGACAGACCAACAAGAGGUGAAGCGUUGCUGGACCUGGUGCUUACCAACAUGGAAGAGAUUGUAAAAGAGGUUAAGAUUGGAGGCAGCCUGGACUAUAGCGAUCAUGCCCAGGUUGAGUUCAUGAUCCUGGGGAAUGUGAGCCUGGUAACGAGUAGAGUCAGGACCUGAACUUCAGGAGAGCCAGCUUCAGGCUGUUUAAGGAAGUGUUGGAUGAGAUCCCCUGUGAAACUGUCCCUAGGGACAAAGUAACAGGACCAAGCUGGCAGCACUUUAAGGAUGCUUCUCUGAGAGCACAAGAGCUCUCCAUCCCCCAGAAUAAGAAAUGAGACAGAUGAGGCAGGAAACCAGCAUGGCUGAGCAAGGACUUGCUGGUCAGGCUGAGUGGAAAAAAAAAAAAAAAAAAAAAAAAAAAAAGAAAGGAAAAGGAAAAGCAGUGGAAGUGGGGAUGGGUGACCUGAGAAGAAUCUAGAGAUGCUGUCCAGAUGUGCAGGGAUGGAGACAGGAAAGCCAAGGUGCAGAUGGAAUUGAACUUGGUAAGAGGAUGUGAAAAACAACCAGAAGGGAUUCUUUAGAGACACUGUACAGAAGAGACAGGCAAAGGAGAGUGUAUUCCCUCUGAUCAGUGAAAAGGAAGAGCUGGCCUCCUUGGUCAUGGAGAAGACUGCGGUACUUAACAAGUUCUUUACCUCAGUCUUCAUGGUCAGUCAGGCUUCUCAUGUCUCUUGUGUCCCUGAACUUCUAAGUAGGGGUCGGGGAAGCAAAAUCCCUCCCAG